UACGUAGGGACCAAGCGUUGUUCGGAUUUACUGGGCGUAAAGGGCGCGUAGGCGGCAAUUCAAGUCAGCUGUGAAAUCUCCGGGCUUAACUCGGAACGGUCAGCUGAUACUGCUUUGCUAGAGUGCAGAAGGGGCAAUCGGAAUUCUUGGUGUAGCGGUGAAAUGCGUAGAUAUCAAGAGGAACACCUGAGGUGAAGACGGGUUGCUGGGCUGACACUGACGCUGAGGCACGAAAGCGUGGGUAGCGAACGGG
rnacentral:rRNA from 1 species